UGGUGAUCAGCGAUUGGAGGUUGUUAGGCACUAUGGUGAUCAGCGAUUGGUGGUUGUUAGGAGCUAUGGUGAUCAGCGAUUGGAGGUUGUUAGGUGCUAUGGUGAUCAGCUAUUGGAGGUUGUUAGGUGCUAUGGUGAUCAGCUAUUGGAGGUUGUUAGGAGCAAUGGUGAUCAGAGAUUGGUGGUUGUUAGGAGCUAUGGUGAUCAGCGAUUGGUUGUUAGGCACAAUGGUGAUCAGCGAUUGGUUGUUAGGCGCUAUGGUGAUCAGUGAUUGGUUG
ensembl:lncRNA